AGAAUUCUCCAGUGAUGAAUGAGAGGGGAAUGAUCAGGUCCCCUCGAUCUGCCUGGCAAUUCCCCUACUUAUACAGCCCAAAAUUGCCGUUAGUCUUCUUGGCAACUAGGGCACCCUGUGGA